CCUACGGGGGGCUGCAGUGGGGAAUAUUGGGCAAUGGGCGCAAGCCUGACCCAGCAACGCCGCGUGAAGGAAGAAGGCUUUCGGGUUGUAAACUUCUUUUCUCAGGGACGAAGCAAGUGACGGUACCUGAGGAAUAAGCCACGGCUAACUACGUGCCAGCAGCCGCGGUAAUACGUAGGUGGCAAGCGUUAUCCGGAUUUAUUGGGUGUAAAGGGCGUGUAGGCGGGAAAGCAAGUCAGAUGUGAAAACUGAGGGCUCAACCCGGAGCCUGCAUUUGAAACUGUUUUUCUUGAGUGCUGGAGAGGCAAUCGGAAUUCCGUGUGUAGCGGUGAAAUGCGUAGAUAUACGGAGGAACACCAGUGGCGAAGGCGGAUUGCUGGACAGCAACUGACGCUGAGGCGCGAAAGCGUGGGGAGCAAACAGGAUUAGAUACCCGUGUAGUC
rnacentral:rRNA from 1 species